UUUCUAUACCAGUUUACAAAAAGAGUACCCCCUAGAUACAAAUACGUAUAAUACUCUAAUUUUGGCACUAAUAUUGCGCCAUAAAUAUUAUUAUUGCCUCAGAUCAUAGAUAGUAAAGGAAAGGGAUUGGAAACGCAUCACGUGCACCAAUGUUUUCAACAGAGCUUGUGUGUCACCAUCCUACUUACGAUUUUUAAUGUUAUUCAUUGUUAGUCAAAAAGUCAUUUGUUGUUUUUUGAGCUAUAUUUUUGGACUUCAAGAUCAUUAUUUCAGCGUUCAAGCCAAUCAAGAUGUGAAGCAAAAAGCUCGUAAGAAAAGGUGCAAGUCCUCCUCAACCGUUUACCAGAUCCCACUCUCUCUCAACAAAACAAAAGCAUCUAGGAAGACAUGAAUUCAACAAUGUCAUCCAUAAGACAUUUAGUAACCUCACCUGUCACCUCAUCAUUAAGUAUACAUAAUUAUAUACAUGUUUAUUUUUGCUUGUGUGUAUACACUGUAGUUUUGCAACCACUUACUUUAAACAUUAUAUAAUAUAAUUUAUUGACA